rnacentral:lncRNA from 1 species
CUAAGGGGACUAUUGUAUUUGAAAAAUCAAAAACACUCACUAAAUUCCCAAAUCUCCCUUUUUUUCUCUACUGUCAUGGUUUCCAUGACUACAUUUCACAGCUCGAUUUUACAUCUUAAAUGUAAAUGAUUUCUACUGAGAAACACUAUAUAGAAUUUUCAGAUGGAAGAAAGUUAAAGAGGUUUACUCGUCCAGGCAAAUGGACCUUCCAGAGUUGCUACUUGCAAAGAGAAAUCCAAAUGUGCGUCAUCUUGCAAAGAGACAACACUGGAUACAAGUUUCCCACUUGUUGUAGAAUAACAUCAUGCUGCUUCCAGAGGAGUAACACUUGCAAGGUUCUGUUUGAAAUUCCUGCAUACUGGGAAAAUCCAGUAGCAUCUGUGACAUAGAAGUUAAGAAUCAACCUAAAGGUUCUGGAACUCAGAGAAUGAUAUUCUUCCCUCUGUUAUCAGCCAUUUCCCCUCCCAGCUUUGCUCCCGUUCAAAUUAACCACAUCAUGGGGCUUAUUCCUUCAGCAUAUUCCAUUUGAGUGGGGAAGGACGCAUGGCCAAAUAAAAAAGACGAUGAACU